rnacentral:rRNA from 1 species
UACGGGGGGAGCAAGCGUUGUUCGGAUUUACUGGGCGUGAAGGGCGCGUAGGCGGCCACCGCAAGUCAAUUGUGAAAUCUCCGGGCUUAACUCGGAAAGGUCAACUGAUACUGCGGGGCUAGAGUGCGGAAGGGGCAACUGGAAUUCUCGGUGUAGCGGUGAAAUGCGCAGAUAUCAGGAGGAACACCUAUGGCGAAGGCAGCUCGCUGGGACGGUACUGACGCUGAGGCGCGAAAGCGUGGGGAGCGAACAGG